rnacentral:rRNA from 1 species
UGCUCGAGUGGCAACGGGUGAGUAACACGUGAGUAACCUGCCCUUGACUUUGGGAUAACUUCAGGAAACUGGGGCUAAUACCGGAUAGGAGCUCCUGCUGCAUGGUGGGGGUUGGAAAGUUUCGGCGGUUGGGGAUGGACUCGCGGCUUAUCAGCUUGUUGGUGGGGUAGUGGCUUACCAAGGCUUUGACGGGUAGCCGGCCUGAGAGGGUGACCGGCCACAUUGGGACUGAGAUACGGCCCAG